AGUGGACGCUGGCGGUAGGCCUAACACAUGCAAGUCGAACGGCAGCACAGGAGAGCUUGCUCUCUGGGUGGCGAGUGGCGGACGGGUGAGGAAUACAUCGGAAUCUACUUUUUCGUGGGGGAUAACGUAGGGAAACUUACGCUAAUACCGCAUACGACCUACGGGUGAAAGCAGGGGACCUUCGGGCCUUGCGCGAUUGAAUGAGCCGAUGUCGGAUUAGCUAGUUGGCGGGGUAAAGGCCCACCAAGGCGACGAUCCGUAGCUGGUCUGAGAGGAUGAUCAGCCACACUGGAACUGAGACACGGUCCAGACUCCUACGGGAGGCAGCAGUGGGGUAUAUUGGACAAUGGGCGCAAGCCUGAUCCAGCCAUACCGCGUGGGUGAAGAAGGCCUUCGGGUUGUAAAGCCCUUUUGUUGGGAAAGAAAUCCAGCUGGCUAAUACCCGGUUGGGAUGACGGUACCCAAAGAAUAAGCACCGGCUAACUUCGUGCCAGCAGCCGCCGUAA
rnacentral:rRNA from 1 species